rnacentral:rRNA from 1 species
UCGCGCGAUUCGCCUUACGGCUCAGUAACACGUGGACAACCUACCCUAUGGAGGGGAAUAACCCCGGGAAAGUGGGGAUAAUGCCCCAUAGACUAUGGAUGCUGGAAUGCUCUGUAGCCAAAAGGUCAGCCGCCAUAGGAUGGGUCUGCGGCCGAUUAGGUUGUUGUUGGGGUAACGGCCCAACAAGCCUGUAAUCGGUACGGGUUGUGGGAGCAAGAGCCCGGAGAUGGAUUCUGAGACACGAAUCCAGGCCCUACGGGGCGCAGCAGGCGCGAAAACUUUACAAUGCGGGAAACCGUGAUAAGGGAACUCCGAGUGCCCGUUAAAUCGGGCUGUCCAUCUGUGUAAAUAACAGGUGAAGAAAGGGCCGGGCAAGACCGGUGCCAGCCGCCGCGGUAAUACCGGCGGCUCGAGUGGUGGCCACUAUUACUGGGCUUAAAGCGUUCGUAGCUGGUCUGUUAAGUCUCUGGGGAAAUCUUCCGGCUUAACCGGAAGGCGUCUCAGGGAUACUGGCAGACUAGGGACCGGAAGAGGUGAGGGGUACUCCAGGGGUAGGAGUGAAAUCCUGUAAUCCUUGGGGGACCACCUGUGGCGAAGGCGCCUCACCAGGACGGCUCCGACAGUGAGGGACGAAAGCUGGGGGAGCAAACCGGAUUUAGAUACCCGGGGUAGUCCCAGCCGUAAACGAUGUGCGUUAGGUGUAUCGGUGACCACGAGUCACCGAGGUGCCGAAGAGAAAUCGUGAAACGUACGCCUGGGAAGUACGGUCGCAGGCUGAAACUUAAGGGAAUUGGCGGGGGAGCACAAGUCUAAUUCGUAUA